CAGAAAUUGUCAAGGUUUAGAGCCCUAAAUGUAACCUAUCCUAAAAGUUACAUCCCUUCCACAUUAACACAGUGUUAAAAGUUCAGGCUCUUCACAUGGGUGACCUGUCACCAGCAAACUCUGAGCUAGGAAUUCUUCUGAUUGCAGGCACACGUGAGGUGAAUUUCAAUCCCCUGAUGGUUCCCUAAAAGUAUCAGGCAAAGAAGAGACAGCUUGAUUUCCUGGAAGAACUUGUCUAGGCUGGCUGGGAGGAGAAAUAGCAAGUUUUAUAGCUUUUCCCUGUUUUUGGACAGGCUGAUUAAUGCUUGAGUCAUCACCCUUCUGUGGCAAGAGGCACCUGAAAGGAAAACUUCCGCAUAUCAAUGCRCUGCCAAUGGUACAGUUGCCUAUAACGAAGGCUGUGUGUAAGGAUUUAAUGCAAGAAGGCACCCAACAGGACUAUUGCAGUUUAGCGGUGGCUGACAUGUCUCUCAAAACUCCGAGUAGGUUGUGCUAUAAAUAUAGCCUCUUGUUUUGCAAUUGGCAUUUUGUUAGUGGGUGGCUAACUGCUAAUUUGAAGGGGAAUAAACCAGAGAUCUAAU
rnacentral:lncRNA from 1 species